UUAUAAGAGACAGCAGUAGCCGCGGUAAUACAGAGGGUGCGAGCGUUAAUCGGAUUUACUGGGCGUAAAGCGUGCGUAGGCGGCUUCUUAAGUCGGAUGUGAAAUCCCUGAGCUUAACUUAGGAAUUGCAUUCGAUACUGGGAAGCUAGAGUAUGGGAGAGGAUGGUAGAAUUCCAGGUGUAGCGGUGAAAUGCGUAGAGAUCUGGAGGAAUACCGAUGGCGAAGGCAGCCAUCUGGCCUAAUACUGACGCUGAGGUACGAAAGCAUGGGGAGCAAACAGGAUUAGAUACCCCCGUAGUCCCUGUCUCUUAUAC
rnacentral:rRNA from 1 species